rnacentral:rRNA from 1 species
AUUGAACGCUGGCGGCAGGCUUAACACAUGCAAGUCGAGCGGAGAGAGGUAGCUUGCUACUGAUCUUAGCGGCGGACGGGUGAGUAAUGCUUAGGAAUCUGCCUAUUAGUGGGGGACAACAUUUCGAAAGGAAUGCUAAUACCGCAUACGUCCUACGGGAGAAAGCAGGGGAUCUUCGGACCUUGCGCUAAUAGAUGAGCCUAAGCCGGAUUAGCUAGUUGGUGGGGUAAAGGCCUACCAAGGCGACGAUCUGUAGCGGGUCUGAGAGGAUGAUCCGCCACACUGGGACUGAGACACGGCCCAGACUCCUACGGGAGGCAGCAGUGGGGAAUAUUGGACAAUGGGCGCAAGCCUGAUCCAGCCAUGCCGCGUGUGUGAAGAAGGCCUUAUGGUUGUAAAGCACUUUAAGCGAGGAGGAGGCUACUUUAGUUAAUACCUAGAGAUAGUGGACGUUACUCGCAGAAUAAGCACCGGCUAACUCUGUGCCAGCCGCCGCGGUAAUAC